rnacentral:lncRNA from 1 species
AAGCACGUUACACCAAUCAGUUGCAGCUGUGACAUUGCGCCGAGGCUCUGAAGUGGGUAAUUGCAGACCACAGCUAGGCUGGAAUGCUGUGUUUGGGGUGGUCAUUAGAGUCGUGGUCUCUUUAGCGUUAUGAAGCCUACCUUGACUCCUAGGUGUUCAUUGUGAAUCUUGUUGGUGCUGGUAUCGCUGUACCUCUCAAAUAGCUUCCCCAUUUUGACUAAGAAUGAAGAACUUCUUGGACAAAGAACUUGUAAAAAUCAGCCUUCUGCCCCAGCGUCUUCUCCAAAGAUACAGGAGCUUGCUGGACCCACUUGCAAGGGAAGCCUGGAAGUUGGGGAGUUAAUGUCUUCACGGCACUCUCAAUCAGUGAGGCAUGAGGGUCUCUAUCAUGAAAAAGAGGGAUCCCUGACAGAGCCUUCUGACUUGCAAGUGUGAACUACAGCCCAGAACAUUUCAGCCAUCCUGAGCUUCACAUGAAGUUGGGAUCUUGGCAUUAGGGUUUGUAGUAGGUUCCUAGUACUGCUGUAAUAAAGUACCACAAAUGCAGUGGC